rnacentral:lncRNA from 1 species
UGCAGAUAGAUUAAUAAUAAUAAUCAUAUUAGAUAACGAUUUAACUGAUUUUCAAAACCUUUUUUCUCAAGCAUUGUGCUUUAAAGCUAAUAAAAAUGCUAAAACCAUAUAUAACUGAAACAUAAAUGGCUUAGAGCUAGAUCAGCUGAAUAUAUCUUGGGUAUGCAUACCUUCAAUGACUUUAAAACUUAAAUGGCCAAUCCUAGAAGAGUUAAAGAAUACUGAUUGCCAACUUAUUUGGGUAUCCAUACCUUCAAUGGCUUUUCAACUUAAACCUGAUACCUAUUUGUUGUAAUCAGUAACCUAGACUUUCACUGACAACCCUUAUCUGGAGGAAGAACCUUCAAUUAUGUAGCUCAUACUGUGGACUUGCAAUGCUUUAUACUUAUCAUUUAAAUCGAGAGCAUGACUUUGUUGACUUGCUUGAAUGACUUGGUUCUUACCCUUAUAUUUGGUCCAACAUCGCAACAUGUGCAAUUUCAAGCUUACAAUUCUUCGUUAGACCAAAACUAAUUUAUUCGACCUUGUGAAAGUAUUAAUAAAAUAAAAAUAAUAUAUCGGAGAAAUUAGAUAUGAAUGAAUGGCAACAGUUUAAUUAAGUGAUUGUAGUCUGAACAAAAUAAAAAUUAAUUUAGCGUUUAAAGAAAUGCAUCCUUUAUCUGCUCCCUAUAUAGUUGGGUGAGUACACAGAGUAAUUAGAAAGCAACAUAAUCCGAACUGUAAAGUUACUACCUCCGAAGAACAACGGCAUGUGGCUCCUUUUUGCCAAG